GAUAGUGAAAACUAUAUAUAUACGUAAGUCCUCAAAAUAUUUUGUCAAAAAAAGUCCUCAAACUUUCUUCCAUAUAUUCACCGAAACAAGAAAGAAAGUCUCUCAUCACUCUACUGCUGCCAAAACAUGGAAGAUCAUCAAGCCAAUGUGAUUGCUGUGAAGGAAGGAUCAAAAUCCUCUAAUGAAAUUAACCCAAUGGAAGAUGAAGUGAUUGUUGUGAAGGAAGAAUCAAAAUCCUCUAAUACAAUUAACCCUAGGUAUAUACUCAAUCCCUUUAAUUUACUAUACUAAUUUUUGCUUUUUAUUUUUUUUAAUAUUAAAUGACUAAAUGUCGAAUUAUUAUAUUUUUUAUGAAAACAAUUCAACAUAUUUCCACUAUUUCUUAGCAUCAUAAAAUGAUAAUAUCAUCAUUUUUAAAAAAAAAAACAAACAUAUAUUCACUAUUUUCAAAGACCGUGAAAUAGAAAGAAUAAUGUGCUUGAUAUUUGAAAUAUUCAUUUGGAAAUUCGAGUAUUCAACAUUGGGUUUGGAAUAAAAUUGGUCUUGCAGCAAAUCUUAUGUGUAUAUUUCCACAUGCAGUAAAGGGAAUAAAUGUUAUAGCUAAACUAAUAUAAGAAUUGGACUUUUCAUAUCUUACCAAUUAUUACACUUAACAACUCUUUACUUAUACAAGUCAAACAUAGCAGAAAAUAGCUUACUCAUCACACUACUAAUUCUAUCUAAGGCAACUCCAAGUCCUUAAGUCACUUGGGUCUAACUCUAUUCUUCUUGAGUCAUGAUCACAUGUAUACAAUUGANNNN
rnacentral:lncRNA from 1 species